GAUGAACGCUGGCGGCGUGCCUAAUACAUGCAAGUCGAGCGAACGGACGAGAAGCUUGCUUCUCUGAUGUUAGCGGCGGACGGGUGAGUAACACGUGGAUAACCUACCUAUAAGACUGGGAUAACUUCGGGAAACCGGAGCUAAUACCGGAUGAUAUUUUGAACCGCAUGGUUCAAAAGUGAAAGACGGUCUUGCUGUCACUUAUAGAUGGAUCCGCGCUGCAUUAGCUAGUUGGUAAGGUAACGGCUUACCAAGGCAACGAUGCAUAGCCGACCUGAGAGGGUGAUCGGCCACACUGGAGCUGAGACACGGUCCAGACUCCUACGGGAGGCAGCAGUAGGGAAUCUUCCGCAAUGGGCGAAAGCCUGACGGAGCAACGCCGCGUGAGUGAUGAAGGUCUUCGGAUCGUAAAACUCUGUUAUUAGGGAAGAACAUAUGUGUAAGUAACUGUGCACAUCUUGACGGUACCUAAUCAGAAAGCCCCGGCUAACUACGUG
rnacentral:rRNA from 1 species